rnacentral:tRNA from 1 species
GCGCCGCUAGCUCAAAUGGUAGAGCAACGGAUUCUUAAUCCGUGGGUUCGGGGUUCAAUUCCCUGGCGGCGUA